CAGCGGGAGCAGAGGAAGCCAAGCACUUCAUCUAAUUUAAUUUUCUCUUGCCUUUUUAAUAUAUGUUACAUCAUAAAGUUUGAUGUAUCAGCUUAAAUAACAGUUGCAGGGCUGCUGAUGAAUGGGGUGGAAAGAAAUUUUAAAGGAAAGGGCCAGCUAGAAUACUGUCAUCCCGUGUGGAGAUGUCAGUGUAGAUCAGACAGACUUCCUCCCUAUUGGGGAUAAUGGCUUCCAAUCCAGAAUUUUGAUAAGUGGAGAAAGAGGAGCUGAGAGAGGCACAUCAGAUUCCCGGACUUUAACAGGCACACAUGGCUGUUAUAGAUCACUGGCUUCCCCCACCCAAAGGGAGGCUCAGUAAAGGAGUUAUGAUGUCGUCACUUGUUCAUUAUCCAUCUCAGACCACUGACAACUCCUCAAGUACACCCUGGUGCAGUCAGACUCUGCUCAUUCGCCCGUUUGGCUCCCUCCUGGAACGCUCCAUUCUCUGCUUAUCAAAGUCUUGCUUUGCCUUCAAGGACUGAGACUCCAAUCUCCUUCCUGGAAACCGUCGUCCUCUCAGAAAGCACAGCAUUUUGCUGAUGUGGUGCAGAGGACCGGCUUCACUGUGCUCUUCUCUGCCAGAAAACUGUGGUCUCUGAGAGGACAUAGACCACAUACACUAUAUUUGCUUUUAAUGAAAGAAACAUUUAAGGAUCUGAAAA
rnacentral:lncRNA from 1 species